CUUGCGCUCGGCUCUCUAAACAGAGCAGGAUGGAGCCCAGCCCGUUACCUCAGAGAGCCGAGGUAACGAGCAUAGCCCCAGCCUGCUCGUUACCUCAGCUCUCAGCUCUCUGUUACCUCAGCUCUCUGGUGCUUCAGCUCUCUGUUACCUCAGCUCUCUGGUUCUUCAGCUCUCUGUUACCUCAGCUCUCUGGUUCUUCAGCUCUCUGUUACCUCAGCUCUCUGGUGCUUCAGCUCUCUGUUACCUCAGCUCUCUGAUGCUUCAGCUCUCUGUUACCUCAGCUCUCUGGUGCUUCAGCUCUCUGUUACCUCAGCUCUCUGGUGCUACAAGCUCUCUGUUACCUCAGCUCUCUGGUGCUUCAGCUCUCUGUUACCUCAGCUCUCUGGUUCUUCAGCUCUCUGUUACCUCAGCUCUCUGGUUCUUCAGCUCUCUGUUACCUCAGCUCUCUGGUGCUUCAGCUCUCCUAGGUAACAGAGCAGGCUGGGCUCCCCUCUCUCUUUCCAACAGCAGAGGUAUCUGUUGCUACUCAGAGCUUCUCGUCUCUCAGUGCAGCCCUGGGAGGGUUAAUGCACAGAGGGGGGCAUUGUUGAGGACGUUGGUAUGUAUACAUGGAUGUGACGGAGUGAACAAGAGUCAACAAUGGCUGUACAGUGUCUCUGGGAGCUGUACCAGCUCCUCCCUCUCCACGUCUUUGGUCCGUGCACUGCAGGAGGCGAGGGUUGGCGUGGAGCGAUGGCGGUUGCAUAAGACUGACCCUUCGGUGAAGCGACGACUCACACACAGAGAGGGAAACCAGGGCUGGAAAACCGCAGUGGAGCCGAAGGAUUGGGAGCCAAUGAGAGGAUGAGCAGCAGCACACUUCAGCCUACUCACUGGAUCGCUGUGUUACAGCAGUCCUCGGCGGGGGGGGGGGGGGGGUGGUGCCGGGCGAUGGUGUGUUGUGUAAUCGCCUCUCCCUCCUCCACACUGCUCUGCCAAACUCCUCUACAGCGAGGUUCAACAACCUCGGUGGUUCUCAGCCCCCCCCCCCCAGCCCCCUCCCCCGCCCGCGGGUUCUUCCACGGGUUUCAAACUCUCUCUCUGCUCUCUCUCUCCCUCAUCGAUACAAACUGGUCCUUACAGCCGAUUGCUGAUUUGACUAUGGGUUCGUGUGUGUCUGUGGGUGUGUUUGCAUUUACCCAUACGUGUGCAUGCGUGUGUAUGUGUACGUAUGCGUGCCUGUCUGUGUGCAUAUGAUGUAAUUCAUGAAUCCAUGAACUAGAUCAAAGGGCCAAUAUGUGACAUCAAUGCUUGCAAUGAUCCUUUUAAAAGUUUCAGAUGUUCUAAAGUGGCUGCACAUGAAUGUAAAUAUGUGGCUCAUGGUCCACAGGGCUGUAUCCCCCAUCGCCUUGUCGCCUGGGAGCGACGCCGCCUGACUGCAGAUUGAUCCAUCUCACGUGUUCCUCCCCUGACCUCCACGACCUUCAGGAGGCCUCUGAGCAACGGACACGCGUCAGCCUCGUGGGCGGACCGGGCGCGGGUCAUUGUGUGGAGGAUGUGAGGAGUCAGGGAUGUGAGGUUGAAGCAUCAACACAGAGUAUCAAGAGAAGAGAUGGUGAUCGGCACUGCGGAAAUCAUUCCAACAGAUAUAACCGAUUGGGGUCGAAAUCCGCAGCUCUGACGUCUACUAGCCUAGACUGCUUUGUAUCAGUGAUGAUGCUGUUGGUAUCAGUCAAUCAGGCAGCAUCAAUCAAUAGUUUCCUUUUCUCUCACCAUCUCUGGCUGACCCCCCCCCCCCCCCCAUCCCCCGUUCAUGCUCAUGGUGUGAUUCGCCUCAUGCUCCUCGAUGUCUUUCAGUAUCCCAUUCUGCAGAGAGCCAGGGAGAUGCUGAACGCUGUUGUAACCUGCUUCGCUCUGGGCUCCUCCAGUCAGCCAUGAUCGGAAUGGGAGGCCUGUUCUCUGGUGCUCCAGGGUUUGGUUGUGUGUGUGUGUGUGUGUGUGUGUGUGUGUGUGUGUGUGUGGGUGUGUGUUGUGGGUGUGUGUGUGUGGGUGUGUUUGUGUGAUUGUGUGUGUGUGUACACGUGUGUGUGUGUGUGUGUGUGUGUAUGUCUGCGUGCAUUAGGGCUGUGCGAUAUUGCAAAAAUUAUUAGCACGAUUAUUUUUUCAAUGUUGAUCGAUAUCGAUCUUAAUCACAAUAUAUCAUUUGAUACUGCUGAAGCCUGAAGGAUCAGUGUUUUCAUGUAUUACCAUAUUUGCCUUGUAACCUAUUGAAAAUAAUGUAAAUAAAAAUAAAAGCUCUGACUUC